UCGGUCGGGUGGGUGCACCAGAGUCGUUGUGAUACCAUCAGUCCGUGCGCUUGAUUUGGAUAAAGUGUGGAAAGGCUCACUCAGCUAACAGUGGCAGGUCCGAGAAAAAAAAAAGAAAAACAAUCAAAAAAAAUUUAUACAACAAAGAGAAAUGUUACUUGUCACUGAUAAAAGAUAAACGAACGUUAUGCGUUAAAGAGAAAGUGUUGUUAUAUGUCGGUGCUAGGGGUCAGAGCCGAGGGUAAUCCGCUCCGUGAAAAAGUGUCCAUUUCAAGGCACAGCAGCAGCCUAUAUGUUUGUGCAAUUUCGUGGCUUUUCUCGACCGGCAGCGAUAAUCGGUGAUAUGGUGUUUCCUCUACGUGUUCGCCAUUAAAUGAUAAUACCUGUUAACUUAAUGUGGCUCCAACUUCGAUAUCGUGUAAUACGCUUUGCUGAUCCACAUUCGGUUCAAAAUUGGCAGUAAGGCGAACGUGGAGUGGACGAAUUGAAAAGAAAAGUGCAAAAUAAUAAGGCGUGAAAUUUUCGUGAACAUCUCACAAAGCCUGUGGCAGUGUUUGCUGAAUUGGUGGAGAUCUUUUGCAUCUAUUUUGCAGCCCCGAAGAUUUGAUGCGUUUUUGAUAGCAUAGCGCUUGUGUUUUUCGUGUGGAAGUUGAAAUAAUCUAGAAGAAAACGUUGUCUUUGGCAUAAGGAAAAUUCGUACCCCACCCAGUUUGCGUCCUGAAUAGCAUCGUCAUUGGGAUUUCUCUGGUGGAGAUCUGUCCCAUUCCCAUCAGAAGGAUAACUUUGUGGAUGUGUGCGUGCUACGUGGUUUCCCGCUAGCGUUGACUGAUUAAACGAGUUCUACGACUUUGAAAAUCGCAAACCACAGCUGAUUUACAGUUCAAUUGAAGUGAAUUUACUAGUUAAACUGUUCAGUGGUAAACGCGAAGCGGAUGACGAAUUGAUUAGUGUGAAUCAAUCAAAUAAUGGAAACAGUUUUUUUCUACCGUGCAUACAGGAGAGUGAUCAGUGCCUAAGAAGUGCAUAAAAAACAAGCUAUAAAGCUAAAUUGUUUUCGUUACGCUAUUAUCCGUAAAUAAGCAGUUAAAACUAGUGUCUUGAAAUUCGAAGAAGCAGAAAGUACGGCACAACAUUGUAUUGUCUAAGGCUACGUUUUGUGCUCGUGAGGUUUUAAGUGCGAAGAAUAUCCGACUAAGGUAUCAAUUUACAACUUCAAAGUGCACCGGAUUAGCAGCAGCAGCAGCAGCAACAGCAACGGCAGAAAAACUUGAAGGUUGAGGGGUUGCAUUGCGCGGUGGAAAAAUUACAUCACGACCAUCAUCAUCAUCUUCUUCAUCUUUAGUAGCGGUACGGUACAUUACAAUUACAAUUGCCGUACUUUGAUGGAGAAGAAUUUGCAUCCUAUCUACGGUCGUUCGUACGUCCGUUCGCGUAUUUGACUUCAGGUACGCAGUUUGUGGUUUACCCAACAGCGGCAUUGCAAACAACAAGGCGUACAAGUGAUAUGGUUCGGUGAAUUUCGGCAGGAAGAAAAAGAAAAGAGCCUAUUGGCUGUAUGUGUCCAUUGUUGGUUGUGUUACUUACGAUUGCGUAGGAAUGAAAUUUUUGAGUUACAUUUUCCGGGAAAUUGUGCAAUGAUGGUGUGAUUUCUGGAGGAUUCCAAACUUUAACGAAAAACCGGCAGAAUUCAGUGAAAG